AGUUUUAUAAAGGGUGAGUGUUUAAUAAGGGGUGAGUGUUUAAUAAAGGGUUAGUGUUUAAUAAAGGGUUAGUGUUUAAUAAGGGGUGAGUGUUUAAUAAGGGGUGAGUGUUUAAUAAGGGGUUAGUGUUUAAUAGGGGGUGAGUGUUUAAUAAAGGGUUAGUGUUUAAUAAAGGGUGAGUGUUUAAUAAGGGUUCGGUGUUUAUAGGGGUGAGUGUUUAAUAAAGGGUGAGUUGUUUAAUAAGGGUGAGUGUUUAAUAAGGGGUUAAUGUUUAAUAAAGGGUCGGUGUUAAUUAAGGGGUGAGUGUUUUAAUAAGGGGUUAAUGUUUAAUAAAGGGUCGGUGUUUAAUAAGGGGUAAU
ensembl:lncRNA